CGCAAGGGAAAGAUGAAAAGGACUUUGAAAAGAGAGUUAAAGAGUGCUCGAAAUUUCCAGGAGGGAAGCGGAUGGAGGUCGGCGAUGCAUCUCGGUUAGAUGCGGAACAACUCAAGUUGGUCCACCGCUUGACCUGAGGUGCGAACCAGCACAGGUCGUUGCAUCAGCAUAAGCGUGGGUGGAGUACUGCCUGUUGGUUUUCCAUUUUGGCGGUCGAGGAACGAAGCGUGUGACCUUGGGGUGGGCCACUGUGCACCUGCACGCUCUUGGUGUUGCUUGGCGGGCUCUCCAUUCGACCUGUCUUGAAACAUGGACCAAGGAGUCUAACAUGUGUGCGAGUCGGUGGGUUUGUAAACCUGCGAGGCAUAAGGAAGCUGACAGGCGAGAACCCCUCUCCAUGGGGUGCAUUGUCGAUCGACUUUGAGCUUGUGCGAAGGGUUUGAGUGGGAGCACACCUGUUGGGACCUAAAAGAUGGUGAACUAUGCCUGAGCAGGGCGAAGCCAGAGGAAACUCUGGUGGAGGCCCAUAGCGAUACUGACGUGAAAAUCGUUCGUCUGAAUUGGGUAUAGGGGCGAAAGACUAAUCGAACCAUCUAGUAGUUGGUUUCCUCCGAAGUUUCCCUCGGGAUAGCUGGAGCUCAUGUGCGAGUUUUAUCGGGUAAAGAAAAUGAUUAGAGGCAUUGGGGGCAUAACGCCCUCGACCUAUUCUCAAACUUUAAAUAGGUAAGAUGGUGUGGCUGCUCCAUUGAGCCAUGCCACAGAAUCGAGAGAUCCAAGUGGGCCAUUUUUGGUAAGCAGAAAUGGCGAUGUGGUAUGAACCAAAAGUCGAGUUACAGUGCCAAACUGCACGCUAAACGAGAUCCCAUAAAGGGUGUUGGUUGGUUAAGACAGCAGGACGGUGGUCAUGGAAGUCAAAAUCCACUAAGGAGUGUGUAACAACUCACCUGCCGAAUCAACUAGCCCCGAAAAUGGAUGGCGCUAAAGCGCGCAACCUAUACUCAACCAUCAGAGAAAUUUCCAAGCUUCGAUGAGUAGGAGGACGCGGGGGUCAUUGAGAAACCUUGGGCGUGAGCCUGGGUGGACCGGUCCCUGGUGCUGAUCUUGGUGGUAGUAGCAAAUAUUCAAAUGAGAACUUUGAAGACUGAAGUGGGGAAAGGUUCCAUGUGAACAACACUUGGAAAUGGGUUAGUUGAUCCUAAGAGAUGGGGAAGCCCUGUAUCAAGGGUGCACUAUGAACGAACAUUGAAAGGGAAUCGGGUUAAUAUUCCUAAACUAGGACAUGGCGGCAGACGACAACGUUAGGAAAUCCAGAAACGUCGUCAAGGGCCCUGAGAAGAGUUAUC
rfam:Picea glauca, whole genome shotgun sequence.